rnacentral:lncRNA from 1 species
AUUUUCCUUUUUCCUCAUUAUUUUACAAGGGUUAAUUACACCAUUUAUUCCUUUGCGGUAUAUUUUUAAUUUGAUUUCCAUUUUCUUUUUUUUCUUUUUUUUCUUUUUUUUCUUUUUUUGCAAUCGAGUUCAAUCUUUUGAUUUCAUUUCAAUUAAUUCUCGACUAUUAGAGACACCGAGAUGCCGUGUCAACGUCAUGAAGGUGUUGUGUCAGCGCCAACAAAUUAUACAAUUUAAAUUUACAAGCUACUGCUAUUAUAUCAAUAGUAGCCAACUACUCUGUCAUGCCCGCCGUCCAUUCCCCAAAUAGGUGGAAGAAGCCCCGCACGGGUUCGUGCGCCAGACCUGCCGAAUUAACAGAGUUUUUCUUAUCCGUCCAAGGCACCAUAAUCGGUACAAUUCAAAACAUUCCAAAUAGGAAUAGAAUCCAUACACAGAUUGUAUAAGAAAAGCAUCAUAAACAUGAAUCAUCUAUGCUAUUACAAGCAUUCGUCUCAUUCAAAUUACAUAUUAUUUUUUCUUUCCAAAUACAAUCAAAUUAUUAUUACAAUUUCUCUCUCUCCUCUAUAUACCCUUUAAGCUAUACUGUUCAGGAUACAUCCUUCUUUGUUACAAUGGCAAGACGCUAACUAUUGAGUCACGUCCUUUCCUCAAGCCGCCGCCCCGCUCAUGUGUUGACCAACAAAAUAUGGGGGUGGGAACUAUAAAUAUAGUUUCCAAUUGGUACAGCCACCCAAGGGAAGAGCUCGCGACCUACCAUGUCCAAAUGAGACAAUUAUCAGGUUAGUAUACAACAAGUAACUAUAUAAGCAUAUAACUUUACUAUAUACAAAUAACAAAACAUUCAUACUUAGCUCAAGUAAAUGCGAUAAUAAAAUCAUACAUGUAAGUUAUUUUCUAUUUCUACUUACUAUUUCACUAUCCAUUUUAAUUCCAAUCCACUCCUAAUGUUUCUUUUACUUUAGCCGAGCUAUACCACCCAACUCAUUCUUGAGUCAAUCAUCAGCGGAAUACCACUAUUUGUCCAAGCCUGAGGAAGGGACACACCACAUGCACCUCAUCCUUCAAUCCACUCGACUUUAGGACAUCCAUCAGGCGAAUUUUAAAAUUUCUGAAAUAACUCUCUCCAAAUUAUAGUUGUAAAACUAACCCUCCUUUCAUCAUAUAAGCAGAGAAAAAUUUUUUGUUAUGAAGGCGGUGAAUCCGCCUUCCGCCUUCUCACCGUCAAUAUAAUUAGUAAAGACGGUGAAUGGUUCACCAUCUUUUACUCAUUUAAUAUUUUUUUCUAUAUCUCGUAUAUAAUCUUAACAACCAAAUAAAAAUUAUAACAAAUCACAUAUAAUUUUAGCAAUAUAAAAAUCCUAACAAUCUAUCCAUAUAAUCCUAACAAUCAAAUAAAAAUUCUAAUAAUUCAUAUAUAAUUCUAAAAAUCUCUUUUUUUUUUCCUAUCUUCUAUCUAACAACCUUAUAUUUUUCUGUACCUGUAUGUAGGUUGUAUGGAAAAUAGAAAAAAGUGAGGUUGUUAGAUGAAAAAUAAAAAAAAAUGAGGUCCUUAGGAUUAUACGUGGAUUAUAUGGAAAAGAGAAAGAGUUGAGAUUUUUCGUAUGAAAUCUUUAUUUGAUUGUUAGAAUUGUAUGGAUAAAUUAUUAGGAUUUUCAGAUUGUUAAGAUUAUAUAUGAUUUGUUGUAAUUUUUAUAUUAGAAUUGUAUGGAUAGAUUAUUAGGAUUUUCAUGUUGUUCAGAUUAUAUGUGAUUUAUUAUAAUUUUUAUGUGGUUGUUAAGAUUGUAUAUAGGAUAUAGAAAAAAUAUUAAAUAAGCAAAAUAUGGUGAACCAUUCACCGUCUUUGAUAAUUACAUUAGUACUGAAGGCGGUGAACGAUUCACUGCUUUUAUAAAAAAUUUAUUACUACUGAAAACGGUGAACGAUUUACCGCUUUCAUAAAAAAAUUUCACCUGUGUGCCUACGUGGCAAGAAGAGGGUUAGUUUUACAAAUAUUAUUUUGCAAGAGUCAUUUAGCCAAUUUUAAAGUUCUAGAGGGUUAGUUUAUAAAAAGGUCCAAUUUUUACACUGCUCGGAUCUUAUUUUCCUUUUUCCUCAUUAUUUUACAAGGGUUAAUUACACCAUUUAUUCCUUUGCGGUAUAUUUUUAAUUUGAUUUCCAUUUUCUUUUUUUUCUUUUUUUUCUUUUUUUUCUUUUUUUGCAAUCGAGUUCAAUCUUUUGAUUUCAUUAUAAUUAAUUCUCGACUAUUAGAGACACCGAGAUGCCGUGUCAACGUCAUGAAGGUGUUGUGUCAGCGCCAACAAAUUAUACAAUUUAAAUUUACAAGCUACUGCUAUUAUAUCAAUAGUAGCCAACUACUCUGUCAUGCCCGCCAUCCAUUCCCCAAAUAGGUGGAAGAAGCCCCGCACGGGUGCGUGCGCCAGACCUGCCGAAUUAACAGAGUUUUUCCUAUCCGUCCAAGGCACCAUAAUCGGUACAAUUCAAAACAUUCCAAAUAGGAAUAGAAUCCAUACACAGAUUGUAUAAGAAAAGCAUCAUAAACAUGAAUCAUCUAUGCUAUUACAAGCAUUUGUCUCAUUCAAAUUACAUAUUAUUUUUUCUUUCCAAAUACAAUCAAAUUAUUAUUACAAUUUCUCUCUUUCCUUUAUAUAUCCUUUAAGCUAUACUGUUCAGGAUACAUGUCACGCCCCGGGGCCGAUUUUAAAAGCCCUUUGAAAAC